UGUGCUGAGUCUCAUUUUCCUGAGUCUCCUGGAUGCAAGAAGCUGAACAGAUGGGAGCUGUUGAUGUCACUGGAAAAGUCCUUUCCUAGGCUCCCCAACCCUACCCAAGAUCACUUGUCUUUGAGAUGAAUCUUUGUGGAGAGGCAUCCAGGGGCAGAAUUCUCUUGGAGCAUGUAAGCUUUUGCAGGAUGUCAGGAAAUUAAGAAUCCAAUCAUUGGUUGCCAGUAAGACGACAGGCCAGUCAAAACUGCAAGCAAUUCUGGAGGAGUGGUUGCCCAGAGGAAAUUCACCAUGCUGUUAUAAGAAGGGAGGAUUCAUGCUGGAGACAAUGCAUGGCUACCAUGUAUGGUAUCUAAUUGGAUCUUUCUGUCCCUCACCCAUCUUAUCAGGUAUACAGAUUAGCACUUAAAUUUUCAUGACACUGGUGAUGGAGAAGAUUACCAUCUAAAACUGCCCUGUUUUCCUACCUAGGCAUCAAAAGCACUUGGGCUCACUGUCAAUGACUCAUGUUAUUCACGAAAGUGGAUCCUUUGCCUGGCUUGCUUCCCUGGGCUUCAAUCAACACCCUCUCUUCCAUCAAUAUGUGCUGUGCCAUUGAAAUAGUUUUGAUUAAAAG
rnacentral:lncRNA from 9 species